GAUGAACGCUGGCGGCGUGCCUAAUACAUGCAAGUCGAGCGAACAGACGAGGAGCUUGCUCCUCUGACGUUAGCGGCGGACGCGUGAGUAACACGUGGAUAACCUACCUAUAAGACUGGGAUAACUUCGGGAAACCGGAGCUAAUACCGGAUAAUAUAUUGAACCGCAUGGUUCAAUAGUGAAAGACGGUUUUGCUGUCACUUAUAGAUGGAUCCGCGCCGCAUUAGCUAGUUGGUAAGGUAACGGCUUACCAAGGCAACGAUGCGUAGCCGACCUGAGAGGGGGAUCGGCCAAACUGGAACUGGGAAACGGUCCAGACUCCCACGGGAGGCAGGAGUAGGGAAUCUUCCGGAAUGGGCGAAAGCUUGACGGAGCAACGCCGCGGGGGUGAUGAAGGUCUUCGGAUCGUAAAACUCUGUUAUUAGGGAAGAACAAAUGUGUAAGUAACUAUGCACGUCUUGACGGUACCUAAUCAGAAAGCCACGGCUAACUACGUG
rnacentral:rRNA from 1 species